GUGGGGAAUAUUGGACAAUGGGCGCAAGCCUGAUCCAGCCAUGCCGCGUGGAUGAUGAAGGCCUUAGGGUUGUAAAGUCCUUUUAACGGGGAAGAUAAUGACGGUACCCGUAGAAUAAGCCCCGGCUAACUUCGUGCCAGCAGCCGCGGUAAUACGAAGGGGGCUAGCGUUGCUCGGAAUCACUGGGCGUAAAGCGCACGUAGGCGGCUUUCUAAGUCAGGGGUGAAAUCCUGGAGCUCAACUCCAGAACUGCCUUUGAUACUGGAGAGCUUGAGUCCGGGAGAGGUGAGUGGAACUGCGAGUGUAGAGGUGAAAUUCGUAGAUAUUCGCAAGAACACCAGUGGCGAAGGCGGCUCACUGGCCCGGUACUGACGCUGAGGUGCGAAAGCGUGGGGAGCAAACAGGAUUAGAUACCCCUGUAGUCC
rnacentral:rRNA from 1 species